rnacentral:rRNA from 1 species
ACGAACGCUGGCGGCGUGCUUAACACAUGCAAGUCGAACGAGGAUUACAUUGGAAGGGCUUCGGCCUGGAAGAUGUAAUUCGAGUGGCGGACGGGUGAGUAACGCGUGAACAAUCUGUCCCGGACAGGGGAAUAACACUUGGAAACAGGUGCUAAUACCGCAUAAGACCACGCCCUCGCAUGGGGGAGGGGUAAAAGGAGCAAUCCGGUUCGGGGUGAGUUCGCGUCCGAUUAGAUAGUUGGUGAGGUAACGGCCCACCAAGUCGACGAUCGGUAGCCGACCUGAGAGGGUGAUCGGCCACAUUGGAACUGAGAGACGGUCCAAACUCCUACGGGAGGCAGCAGUGGGGAAUAUUGGGCAAUGGGCGAAAAAGCCUGACCCAGCAACGCCGCGUGAGUGAAGAAGGCUUUCGGGUUGUAAAGCUCUGUUAUAGGGGACGAAGGAAGUGACGGUACCCUAUAAGGAAGCCCCGGCUAACUACGUGCCAGCCGCCGC